AGCCAAACAUUGUUGGCAUUUUGUGGAAACAUCAUGUUGCGAAAUGCAGCAUGGGGUUCAUCCAUUGCACUCUGGCUGUGCUGACCCCUGUGAAUUUCCCAAAUGUGGGGAUCUCAAUUGCAUAAUUUAUGGUAGUGGGGGACUGAGUUCGCGCUCUCCCCUU